UUGUGAAUGACAUACAGCCAACUUACUGGCAACUUACACCAGCAGAGAAAGAAGAAUAUUUUUCACCUUGCAUUUUCCAUUUUCAGGGGUAGUCAGUCACAUUUUUCUGACCAAAAUUUGGAUUUAUAAUUGAGGUCUUUCAAAAAUGACUGGCUGAAAAAAGAGGAAUAUGUGUUCUCCUUGAGGCAGAAGUUGCGGGCACUUUGAAUUCAGGGCGCAUUUGUAUAGAAGUGAUUUUAUUUUGAUGCUUUCUCCCUCAUAAAUUAUCAUGUGUUAUAACAUGUCAUGGAGAUAUGCAUAUAUAACAUUAGACAGUCCACUUUAUAAAUGCUCAGGAUUGUUAACAUCCAUCAUCUCAGCAGUCUGUUACUACAUGCAGUAUCUUAAAAUUAUUUCCAAUUAUCCAUUUUUGUAACAAUGAAGAAUUUACAAAUGAAAUCUGAAUUGUUAGAGUUACAAAGAAUUUGUAGCGUAAUUUAUUUAUUUGUCUUUUUGUGGCCAAAUAUCCCACUGUCAUCACUC
rnacentral:lncRNA from 1 species